UACGGGGGGGGCAAGCGUUGUUCGGAAUUACUGGGCGUAAAGGGCUCGUAGGCGGCCAACUAAGUCAGACGUGAAAUCCCUCGGCUUAACCGGGGAACUGCGUCUGAUACUGGAUGGCUUGAAUUCGGGAGAGGGAUGCAGAAUUCCAGGUGUAGCGGUGAAAAUGCGUAGAUAUCUGGAGGAAUACCGGUGGCGAAGGCGGCAUCCUGGACCGAGAUUGACACUGAUGAGCGAAAGCUAGGGAGCAAACGGG
rnacentral:rRNA from 1 species